CAAACAGCAAAUCAAUGCAAUCAGCUUCACCGCUGGUUCUCACCAAAAGAAUCUCCUCCGUCGAGUGUCUGGUGAACUGGUCAUAGUGCAACACUGCAGCCAGAAAUGUGGACUGUUUACCAAUCAUGAAGCUCCAAGUUUGUAAACGACAGGCCUUUACUAGACUCCCAAAAUGUGUCUGGAUUUUCCUGUUCUUCAUUCUUUUUAUCCUGGUGUUAUUUAUCAUGAACACCCUGGAGUUUCAGAAUAAAAUGAAGACCAUCAGCACAUUCUCAAGGCCUGCCGCUGUUACCCUAUCUACUGACAUGCAUUAUGACUUCUGCAAGUUACAACCACUGUCCCCUAAGGAGGCUCAAGAAGAACACCUCCUGCUAGAGUCUAUUACUUGGCCUGAAAUGCCACAUUUACCAUUUCCUCUUUCCCUGGAAAAGACCAGUGAUCCGGCCCAAAGCACCUUCACCAUUCUUCCAAAGACGGGAGGGGGCCAGUGGCGCAUAGGAGAUAAGCUGGAGGUUUUGAUUAACAUGAAGGACUUUCAGGGCCGUCCAAAAAAGUUUGGAGGAGAUGUUUUACUUGCCCGGCUGCACAGCCCAACUAUCGGUGCAGGUGUUGCAGGAAAAGUGGUGGAUCAUCUCAAUGGCUCCUACACAGCUGUAUUCUUUUUACUCUGGAAAGGAAGUGCACAGGUCCAGGUGACACUGGUUCACCCCAGUGAGGCAGUCAUGGAGCUGCGCAGGCUGAACAGAGAACACCCUGACAGGAUUUUCUUUAAGAGCGUCUUCCAGUCAGGCUCACUCACUGAAACUACAACCUGUAACAUAUGUUUGCGUCCAACCCAGAAGCCUCUGUGCAACUACACUGACCUCCAUACAGGCGAACCCUGGUUCUGCUACAAGCCUGAUAAUCUGAGUUGUGAUGCCAGAAUGAAUUACUUCAAUGGAGGAUAUCAACAAAACAUCACAACCAUGGAGAAGCUUUUUCAGAGUGGUGUCAACCUGAAAGUCUCCAUUGGAGCUUCAGGACCUGCAGGUGUCACCAUUUUUCCAAAAAUGAAAGGACAGUUAGAGGAGAAGAGCGGCAGUGAGGAGUCUGGACCCUCAGGCUAUUACUACCAAGAUGUUUGGCGAGGACUAGGUGGCACAAAAAUUCGUCAGUUCAACACUUCCUCAGCCAUCACUCAGUGCCUGAAAGGCAAGGUGGUUCAUAUGUAUGGAGACUCCACCAUUAGGCAGUGGUUCGAACACCUUACGGCUACACUACCAGGUACAGAAUUUCAAAUGGCAUCCACAUCAGGAGAACAUACUACAAGUUACAAUAUGUAUACCAAUAUCUAUGCACCUGUCGUUAUUGACAGCAGUUCUUCAGAUACUGAGGGAGAGGAGUUGCAAAAGGAAAACUGUGAUGAACUUGAUGGAUUGACAGCUGCAGAUGUCAUCUCAAAUCUGGCUCUGAAGAUCAACAAAACCUCCUGUAGCAGAUUCAACAUUAACCAAGCCAAUGUCUGGGAUGGUGCCUACCGAGGCUUCAGAAGGUCUUCAUAUAGUCCCAACUCUGGCAUGAUGGUGAAAUUCUCUGAUGACGUGGGGCUGGCUGAAGAGGUAAUAGACACAUUGGAUGGAAGCCAUAAGAACGAGAAGAGUAUUCGAAGGAAAGGACUAUGCCAAAUAUCUCACAUUUCAUAGUAAAGCUGCAGAUGAAAAUGAAUAUUUCUACAUUGGAAGAAUGAUUGCAGUUUCCAUUGUCCAUGGUGGUCCAGGGCCAUGUUGUUUAUCUCCAAACUUCUUUAUGUACCUUGUUGGAAAAGACAAGACAUUCGAGGCACCAAUUGAUGAUAUACCAGAUGAAGAAAUCAAGAAGGCUCUACUAGAGAUAAAGAAUGCAACAUCUCUAAGUGAGCUCCGAGUAAUCUCAGAAAAACACUCAAGCAUGCUCCAGACAGCAGGAUGCUGGCGCCCUGGGUGUGAACACUCCCCAGAGAAAUUGGUGCCUAUGCCAUCCCCAUCCCCAUGACGUCGGGGCAGCAUGAGUACGAGCAAUUUUUUUUUUUCGAUGCCUGUGAUACCACCCCAGGCAACCGCCUGUGUCAAAAACUGCUACUGUAUAAUUGUAUGUGAAAUUUGAACCAGGUGUACCAUUGUAUUUCACACACACGGCAUGCACACCAGUCUCACUAGGCACAAAACAAAUGCAGCAGGUGUUAUUCUCUCCCUCCAUCGUGUCAGCCUUGUUAACCUGUCCAGAGGGUCUGGUCACCUGAGCGGUCCCCUCUGCUAUGCUGAUCUCUGAGGAUACAGAGAUGUAGAGAUACAAACAUCAAGUAUAAAGAUCAUCUAGCAUCAGCUGCAUAAGAGAACAGUUCCACUAGAAGGCUGGUAACCUCCCCCCUUUGACCCUUGAGUACAGAUGUAUAGUUACAUAACAGUUCCUGCUUAUCUCACCUGGGAUCUUGAGGCUGAGAUCACACUGGCUGUCAACCUUUGCAACUGAUGCUGCUGUCCUCUUUCUGGUAACGCUCGCCUUCAUUCUGCCCUCCCCUGUUACUUUCACUGUGAAAUCACUUCCUGUGUAUGCACAUGAGCAAAUUCAAUUCUUAUUAAAAAAACCAAAAACAUGUCCCUUCUCUGUUUCUCUCUCUUUUAAUCACACAUGCAGAAGAUAUGCCCAUUGGUUAGUUGUGCAUGGCACAAAUGUCUUUCUUAUCACAACAUCUAAUUUUUAUGAUUUCAGUAUAAUGAUUACACGCCCAGCAAGUUCUCUAGAAGAAGAAUUGCCUAUAUAUUUUUAGUAGAUUAUGCAACAGCACAAUCAGUAAUAAUUUCAGUGCAUAUGCAGGCAAUUUUCCUGUUGCUACGCUCAAUGCAUUACAGACAGUUAAAGUGAGGAUAUUGAUGGUGUAGACAUUGAUUCUUGUCAUGUUAAGUUAUAUUUCACACAUUCUGGCACAGGAAAGAUGUUCUGACUGUCUUUGUUUGAAAUGUUUGUCUUUUCUUCUGUAUAAUGGAAAUAAAUGGCAUCUGAAAAGCUGAG